UACUAAAAGGUCACUUGGUGUUAGCUCUA
rnacentral:piRNA from 1 species